UGGAGCGCUGGGGGCAUCCUGAGUCAGGCUGUGAGAAGAUUCGCCACCAGAGGGCGCCCCGGGCCCUGGGUCGUCCAAGGGGACAAGGACGUUCCCGUCUGUGCUUCGGGGUUCCCUGACCCCCCCAUCCUGCAGCCCACCUUCCUGCAGUGUCGUGGCAGGCGACACCGACUCCUAGGCGCCCUCCAGAGCCAAGCAGCUUGCGACUUCUGGUAGGCACCGGAAUCCCCUGGGAUGCUUGUUUUAAAAGUCCUGGGCCGGGCACGGUGGCUCACGCCUGUAAUCCCAGCACUUUGGGAGGCUAAGGCGGGUGGAUCACGAGGUCAGGAGUUCAAGACCAGCCUGGCCAACAUGGUGAAACCCUGUCUCUACUAAAAAUACAAAAAUUAGCCGGACGUGGUGGUGUGCGCAUGUAGUCCCAGCUACUCAGGAGGCUGAGGC
rnacentral:lncRNA from 1 species